AACGAACGCUGGCGGCAGGCUUAACACAUGCAAGUCGAGCGCCCCGCAAGGGGAGCGGCAGACGGGUGAGUAACGCGUGGGAACGUACCUUUUGGUUCGGAACAACUCCGGGAAACUGGAGCUAAUACCGGAUAAGCCCUAACGGGGAAAGAUUUAUCGCCGAAAGAUCGGCCCGCGUCUGAUUAGCUAGUUGGUGAGGUAACGGCUCACCAAGGCGACGAUCAGUAGCUGGUCUGAGAGGAUGAUCAGCCACACUGGGACUGGGACACGGCCCAGACUCCUACGGGAGGCAGCAGUGGGGAAUAUUGGACAAUGGGCGCAAGCCUGAUCCAGCCAUGCCGCGUGAGUGAUGAAGGCCUUAGGGUUGUAAAGCUCUUUUGUCUGGGAAGAUAAUGACUGUACCGGAAGAAUAAGCCCCGGCUAACUUCGUG
rnacentral:rRNA from 1 species